rnacentral:rRNA from 1 species
CUACGGGGGGCUCCAGUGGGGAAUAUUGCACAAUGGAGGAAACUCUGAUGCAGCAACGCCGCGUGGAGGAUGACACUUUUCGGAGCGUAAACUCCUUUUAUAUAGGAAGAAGAUGACGGUACUAUAUGAAUAAGCGCCGGCUAACUCCGUGCCAGCAGCCGCGGUAAUACGGAGGGCGCAAGCGUUACUCGGAAUCACUGGGCGUAAAGAGCGUGUAGGCGGAUUAAAAAGUCAGAAGUGAAAUCCUAUAGCUUAACUAUAGAACUGCUUCUGAAACUCUUAAUCUAGAAUGUGGGAGAGGUAGAUGGAAUUUCUGGUGUAGGGGUAACAUCCGUAGAGAUCAGAAGGAAUACCGAUUGCGAAGGCGAUCUACUAGAACAUUAUUGACGCUGAGACGCGAAAGCGUGGGGAGCAAACAGGAUUAGAUACCCUUGUAGUC